CCUACGGGUGGCAGCAGUAGGGAAUAUUGCUCAAUGGGGGAAACCCUGAAGCAGCAACGCCGCGUGGAGGAUGAAGGUUUUCGGAUUGUAAACUCCUUUUGUUAGAGAAGAUAAUGACGGUAUCUAACGAAUAAGCACCGGCUAACUCCGUGCCAGCAGCCGCGGUAAUACGGAGGGUGCAAGCGUUAAUCGGAAUCACUGGGCGUAAAGUGCGCGUAGGCGGGGUAGCAAGUCAGAUGUGAAAUCCUAUGGCUUAACCAUAGAACUGCAUUUGAAACUGUCAUUCUAGAGUAUUGGAGAGGGAGGUAGAAUUCUAGGUGUAGGGGUAAAAUCCGUAGAGAUCAAGAGGAAUACUCAUGGCGAAGGCGACCUGCUAGAACAUAACUGACGCUGAGGCGCGAAAGCGUGGGGAGCAAACAGGAUUAGAUACCCGGGUAGUC
rnacentral:rRNA from 1 species